rnacentral:rRNA from 1 species
UACGAAGGGGCAAGCGUUGUUCGGAUUUACUGGGCGUACAGGGAGCGUAGGCGGUUGGAUAAGCCCUCCGUGAAAUCUCCAGGCUUAACCUGGAAAGUGCAGAGGGGACUGUUCAGCUAGAGUAUGGGAGAGGACAGUGGAAUUCCCGGUGUAGCGGUGAAAUGCGCAGAUAUCGGGAAGAACACCUAUGGCGAAGGCAGCUCUCUGGGACGGUACUGGACGCUGAGACGCGAAAGCGUGGGGAGCGAACAGG